UAGGGAAUUUUGGGCAAUGGGCGAAAGCCUGACCCAGCAACGCCGCGUGUGGGAUGAAGGCCCUCGGGUCGUAAACCACUGUCAGGAGGAAAGAAAAGUCGGCCGGAUAAUACUCGGUCGACCUGACGGUACCUCCAAAGGAAGCACCGGCUAACUCCGUGCCAGCAGCCGCGGUAAUACGGAGGGUGCAAGCGUUGUUCGGAAUUACUGGGCGUAAAGCGCGUGUAGGUGGUCGAGUAAGUCGAAUGUGAAAGCCCCGGGCUCAACCCGGGAAGUGCAUCCGAAACUGCUCGACUAGAGUCCCGGAGAGGAAGGCAGAAUUCCCAAUGUAGGGGUGAAAUCCGUAGAUAUUGGGAGGAAUACCGGUGGCGAAGGCGGCCUUCUGGACGGUGACUGACACUCAGACGCGAAAGCGUGGGGAGCAAACAGGAUUAGAUACCCCAGUAGUCCCUGAGCGGGCUGGCAAGGCG
rnacentral:rRNA from 1 species